ensembl:scaRNA
GACCAGCGGAGAGUGGUUGGAGCGCUGAGUGUGUGCGGGGUGUGAGUGUGCGGGGGGUGCGUGAUUGAGUGUGUGUGAUGGGGGUGUGAGUGAUUGUGUGUGUGUGAUGGCAGCGCGUGCCGCCCUCUCCCUACACAUUGAUCUUAUUCGAUCGGCCCCGGCCGAGAUGAGAAGAACGGAGCCGCGAAGCCCCGUGCGGUGUGCGGCGGGCGGGCGGGAUGAGUCGAUCAGAUAGGCGAGGCCUGGCCACGGCCGGCCCCUGAGCGCAGGCGAUUCUGAUCCGC